rnacentral:rRNA from 1 species
CCUACGGGCUGCUGCAGUGGGGAAUAUUGGACAAUGGGCGAAAGCCUGAUCCAGCCAUGCCGCGUGUGUGAAGAAGGCCUUCGGGUUGUAAAGCACUUUCAGUGGGGAAGAAAGCCUUGGGGCUAAUACCCUCGAGGAAGGACAUCACCCACAGAAGAAGCACCGGCUAACUCCGUGCCAGCAGCCGCGGUAAUACGGAGGGUGCGAGCGUUAAUCGGAAUUACUGGGCGUAAAGCGCGCGUAGGCGGUCUGAUAAGCCGGUUGUGAAAGCCCCGGGCUCAACCUGGGAACGGCAUCCGGAACUGUCAGGCUAGAGUGCAGGAGAGGAAGGUAGAAUUCCCGGUGUAGCGGUGAAAUGCGUAGAGAUCGGGAGGAAUACCAGUGGCGAAGGCGGCCUUCUGGACUGACACUGACGCUGAGGUGCGAAAGCGUGGGUAGCAAACAGGAUUAGAUACCCUGUAGUC